rnacentral:rRNA from 1 species
UACAGAGGUCUCAACCGUUGUUCGGAUUCAUUGGGCGUAAAGGGUGCGUAGGCGGUCGUGCAAGUCGGAUGUGAAAUCUCAGGGCUCAACCCUGAAACUGCAUUCGAUAUUGCGCGGCUAGAGUGCUGGAGGGGAGACUGGAAUUUACGGUGUAGCAGUGAAAUGCGUAGAUAUCGUAAGGAAGACCAGUGGCGAAGGCGAGUCUCUGGACAGCAACUGACGCUGAGGCACGAAGGCCAGGGGAGCAAACGGG